UCUCUGGCGAUUCCAGAUCCAGAUUUGGAUCUAGGGUUUCUCUGCUCUCUCUGGCGAUUCCAGACACAGUUAUGCUGCUAGAAGCUCCUCCAUCUUCACGGCCGUCGUGGUCCAGCAGCGCCGCAUAAAUCGACGCAUUGCCGUACAUGACGGCGAGUACGACGACCACAAAGUCAAAGCGGAGGUUGACCAUUUAAUCGAAGAAGAAAUGCGUCGUAGUGCUAAAAGACCGUCUGAUUAUCUUAAAGACCUCCCUCCUGUUGCCAAAUUCAACUUUGAGAUGGGUGUGGUGUCUGAUGCGAGCAAAAAGAAGAAGGCAGUCGCCUUAGCCAAGAGAGGAGUACAAGCUUUGAUGAACAUAAAGAAUGGUCUAGAUGAUCCCAUAGUGUCUUGAAUUGGGAUGCAGAUGCUGUUGAUCCAUGUAGUUGUCCAAAUGACCAGGU